AGCGAACGCUAGCGGAUGGCUUAACACAUGCAAGUCGAGCGGGCAGCUUCGGCUGUCUAGCGGCGAACGGGUGCGUAACACGUGGGUAAUCUGCCUUCUGGUGGGGGAUAACCCGACGAAAGUCGGGCUAAUACCGCAUAUGGCCUACGGGUCAAAGCAGCAAUGCGCCAGUUGAUGAGCCCGCGGCCCAUUAUUUAAUCCUAGUUGGCGGGGUAACGGCCCACCAAGGGUACGAUGGGUUGCUGGUCUGAGAGGACGAUCAGCCACACUGGGACUGAGACACGGCCCAGACUCCUACGGGAGGCAGCAGUGGGGAAUAUUGCGCAAUGGGCGAAAGCCUGACGCAGCCACGCCGCGUGAGCGAUGAAGGCCUUGGUCGUAAAGCUCUGUGGGGGAGGAAGAAAAGACCGGUGAAGAGCCGGACCUGACGGUAUCCCUUAGCAAGCACCGGCUAACUCCGUG
rnacentral:rRNA from 1 species